GACAGAGGGUGCAAACGUUGCUCGGAAUCACUGGGCGUAAAGAGCUCGUAGGUGGUUUGUCGCGUUGUCCGUGAAAACUCACAACUCAAUUGUGGGCGUGCGGGCGAUACGGGCAGACUGGAGUACUGCAGGGGAGACUGGAAUUCCUGGUGUAGCGGUGGAAUGCGCAGAUAUCAGGAGGAACACCGGUGGCGAAGGCGGGUCUCUGGGCAGUAACUGACGCUGAGGAGCGAAAGCGUGGGGAGCGAACAGG
rnacentral:rRNA from 1 species